GGGCUGGGGGUUGCUGGGCUGGGGGGGUUGGGGAAGGGGCUCAGUUCACAGUUCUACUCUUCUGGGAAACAAAAAUAAUUAAAAAGACAGUCUAUCGAGUGUAUUUAUCUUUGGUACCAGCAAGCACCAGAAAAUGAGAGCAGAAUAGACCUGUUACUUUGAAAAGCCCUUGAAUACCCUUAGAAAAAAAGGAGCAAAACAGGCAAGCCAGAUCUCUAUCCCAAAGCUUCUGUGUUGCAGAUAAUCAGAGAGCAGCCUUCCUCCUGAACGCAGGCAGCGUGAGACCAGGCUGUUUCACUUCAAGGAACGCCGAGGCAGGCACCCCCUGACAGAAACGAAGAGUUUUUGAGAAAGGAAUGGAAACCAAAGAAUAUUUGAGGCUACAAGAUGGGCUGAGAAUGCGGAGGGAAUUCGCUGCCCGGCACAUUCUAACAUCAAAGCACCACUGUUUGCUUUGCAUACGCACUGAGCAAACGUGACAUCUGCACGUUUUUGCUGUGACAUAUCUUUCCUUUGCAACAAAACAAGACUCUGCUGCUCCACGGAACAAAGUACUUUAACAGAAUAAAGAAAAGGCAGUGAAAGACACCUGCUUCCAUGCACAUGGACUAAUACAUUCAGCUGUACCUUUAUAGAUAUCUGAGGACAUUUAAUGGAUAACAGAUGAAAUUGGUUUCCUUAUGGAACAUAUAACAUUCAGAAGCUGAUUCGCCUAUAGAUAACAUUAAAGAAUAUUUGGCUGCAGGUUAACAUGGACCACUUUGAGAGUUCAGAAUGGAGAGAAAUCACUGGACACCAUGCAGCCCUCCCUUGACAAGCCUGUCCUCCUUCCAUGGCAAGCUCUGUCCCUUUAUCCUCCUGAGAAUGAAACCAGUAUGGAUCAAGGAGAGAGAGGGCAGUCCCUGAAGGCAAUCACAUCCCCAAUUGCCCACUUUCUGCUUGGGGAAAAAUUCAGGAAGGAAAAUGACAAGAGUACAGCAUAAAGCCAUAGUGUCUCUGCCACCUGAUCAGCCAACAGAUCAGAAAAAGUGGCCAGCAGCUUCUUUCACUGCCUACAUCUGAGGCAUGAGGUCGCAGAGCUGGAGAGACGCCAGAGAACUGUGCUGCAGCUACGCAUGUGCUCCACCAGCACCCUGCACUCAGCGGGGCUCCACUCACUGAAAUGGCAGCUCAGGACCACAUUCCUGCUCUUCACAGGACCCAGGAAAGGAAGAAACUGGAGACUAAUUGUGUGAAUUCUCCAGACAAAGGCAACACUAGCCAGCGUGGCAAGUGCUGCUUCAAGGUCAAAGACCAUUUACGCUGUGCUCCUCCCUGCAUGAGGGAAUAUUAGUCUCCUUUAGGUCCAGUUUGCUCACUUAGCCUUAAGCAAAAGGUUUAGGAUUAGGCCUAAAUGAGUUAUUUACACUAAGGAAUAACUCAUGGGUCAGGUUCAAGAAGAAGCAUUGGAAUAAGCAGUGCAAGACUGCCACAAAAUUGAAUAAACUCAAAUGUUACCAUAAUUUCUGGGAAGAA
rnacentral:lncRNA from 1 species